ACUGCUCAGAGCCCCCGCGCAUCCCCCAUAGUCCCUGAGAGCAGGGCAUCUGCUUUGAUGUUAGUUUCUGGGCCUGCUCCCGCUGUUUCCAGAACCUCCUCUUCUGCAACUUCUGAAAUGGAAAGCAUGCUUCUCAGAGCCUCCCUCAAGGCCUCGGAAGGUGAGGAAGUUGGCCAUUUUCUUCCUGUAGUCAGCCUCUGCUGGACAUCCUUCUUGGCUCAUCUUCUCUGCAGUUCUCAUGGAUAAGGAACCUGGCGUUCUCUGCCUGGAUGUCUUGUCUUUCAAAUCUCGGAGUGCUCGCGCAGUGUCAUGACCUCAAUCUUCCAGCAAUAAUCCCCUCUGUUACAUCCAUGCUCAUCUGGCAUGGGGAUAAGGGAAGCUGGGAAGUCUGGUCUCAGUGAUCCCAUCCAUAUAGCUAAGUCAAAAUACGUUGUCCCUGUGGAUAGGACCUGAGUUUGGAGAAGCCACCAAGAGGAAGCUGGAAGUAAGAGCCCCAGGGUAGCCAAAUAGCUCUUAAGAAGAAUUCCAGCUAAUGUGGAAAGAAUACGGAAUUAGAAAACUCAUUGUGCAGCCCUUGAUCAAAUAAUUGAUCAAAGCAAGAAUCAUGAAUGGAUGAAACCAAAGAUGAUGGUUGAUGGUGAACUUUACAAUGGAGGAAUCAAGCCGUGACCACCUAACCCCACUGAGGAAUCUUACCAUCGCUAAAAGGGAUAUAACCCCUCUACUGUGUACCUCCUGGGGUGAUGCAAUCUGAAGCACUCAGCGCCACCCAUGAAAGACUCUUGCCAAACAAAGGAACAAACACACACACACAACUGAACGUGAUUCUAAUCAAACCUCUAGAACCAACCUCCAUUUAACAGGAAAUAUCAGGGAUGGAGGAACAAUUUAAAUGACACAACGAGGAAGUAAGAAGACACAUCCAGAGAGUGGGAACUUUUCAAGGAAAUGUGGCUCAAUUUCUUCAACUAGUCAAUGGCUAGGGGGGAAAAUUGAGAGGGGACAUAAAAAACUACUAUUAUAUGGGGCAUGUGGACUUUUUUGGUUCCUGGUUGGACAACCCAAUUGUAAAAAGACAGUUUCAGACAGUUGGAGCCUUUUACUUACGGACUGGAGAAUGCCAAGGAGUCAGUAUUGAUUUUGUUAGACAUAAAAUGGCUUCGGGGUUUUGUAAGAAAAGGGCCUUAUUUCCUAGGGGUGCAUAUUGAAGUAUGGAGUGAAGUGACAUACUUACUUUUAAAUAUUUGGGCAGAUAAAAAAGGAUGGAAUUAAAGGAAUAGAAGCAACGAAGUGACAGAAUUAUAUUAUUGAAUGAACUAUGUAGGGGUUCAUAGAACUCUGCUCUCUACCUGUGUGUAUGUUUAAACAUUUUCAAAAUAAAAGUUUUAAAUGUU